UAGGGAAUCUUCCACAAUGGACGCAAGUCUGAUGGAGCAACGCCGCGUGAGUGAAGAAGGUUUUCGGACCGUAAAGCUCUGUUGUUGGUGAAGAAGGAUAGAGGUAGUAACUGGCCUUUAUUUGACGGUAAUCAACCAGAAAGUCACGGCUAACUACGUGCCAGCAGCCGCGGUAAUACGUAGGUGGCAAGCGUUGUCCGGAUUUAUUGGGCGUAAAGCGAGCGCAGGCGGAAGAAUAAGUCUGAUGUGAAAGCCCUCGGCUUAACCGAGGAAUUGCAUCGGAAACUGUUUUCUUGAGUGCAGAAGAGGAGAGUAGAACUCCAUGUGUAGCGGUGGAAUGCGUAGAUAUAUGGAAGAAUACCAGUGACAGAGGCGCUCUCUGGUCUGCAACUGACGCUGAGGCUCGAAAGCAUGGGUAGCGAACAGGAUUAGAUACCCUGGUAGUCCAUGCCGUAAACGAUGAGUGCUAAGUGUUGGGAGGCUUCCGCCUCUCAGUGCUGCAGCUAACGCAUUAAGCACUCCGCCUGGGGGAGUACGACCGCAAGGUUGAAAC
rnacentral:rRNA from 1 species